rfam:Drosophila ficusphila unplaced genomic scaffold scf7180000454039, whole genome shotgun sequence
ACAUUUGCAGGCGGGGUUGUGCGUCAAUAUAUAUGUUUUUUUUUUCUAACUAUAUUGCACACUUCCCGGCCUAUAAAUGC